rnacentral:rRNA from 3 species
AGACCCGAAACCCGGUGAUCUAGCCAUGGGCAGGUUGAAGGUUGGGUAACACUAACUGGAGGACCGAACCGACUAAUGUUGAAAAAUUAGCGGAUGACCUGUGGCUGGGGGUGAAAGGCCAAUCAAACCGGGAGAUAGCUGGUUCUCCCCGAAAGCUAUUUAGGUAGCGCCUCGUGAAUUCAUCUCCGGGGGUAGAGCACUGUUUCGGCUAGGGGGCCAUCCCGGCUUACCAACCCGAUGCAAACUGCGAAUACCGGAGAAUGUUAUCACGGGAGACACACGGCGGGUGCUAACGUCCGUCGUGAAGAGGGAAACAACCCAGACCGCCAGCUAAGGUCCCAAAGUCAUGGUUAAGUGGGAAACGAUGUGGGAAGGCCCAGACAGCCAGGAUGUUGGCUUAGAAGCAGCCAUCAUUUAAAGAAAGCGUAAUAGCUCACUGGUCGAGUCGGCCUGCGCGGAAGAUGUAACGGGGCUAAACCAUGCACCGAAGCUGCGGCAGCGAACGUAUCACUUAAAGCGAUUCAGCGGGUUACGAUUGACGGAGCGAAGCGACGU